rnacentral:lncRNA from 1 species
GUUUGUAGAAUGAACGAAGCUUUCUCCCACCUGCUUGGUCCAUAGGCAGCUCUGGCUCCCUCACACCUAUGGGCUGAGCCCCUCACUCAGGAGCAAUCCUUAAGACAAGGAAGAGACAAUAAUACCAACACCAACAAAAUGCUUACUAAUGCCAGCUGUGUAUUUGGUUCCAAGUGCUUUCCUUCUAUUAAUUCACUUAACUCUCACAACAACAGGAUUAUCCCCAUUUUACAGAUGGGAAAACUAAGGCACAGAGAGGUUUACUAACUUGCCCAAACACACAGCUUGGCAGUCCAGAGCUAGGAUGCAGCCCAGGAGUCAGCGCCAGAGACCACGCUGUUCACCACACUUCCCUCUUAAGGGGAGAGGAUGUCGGUGGAGCACCCAUGCCCCUCCAGCCCCGGCCUGCCCCCAGGUGCCUCCCGUGGGAUACUGGAAGGGGUCUUCCCAGGAGAGGCCAGGCCCAGACUCUCUCCCCAGCCGGCAGUCCUGGGCUGUGGCUCUUUCACUUCCUUCUUCAUUUUUCUGACGAGAACAGAUGCCGCCGCAGCUGACAAGCAGCCUGCCGGUGUGACAGGGAAGGCGGAUCCAGCCCUUGUUUGUCUGCCAGGAAUCUGCCCUCCUCUCACGUCCUGGAAACUGCUACUCACCUUGCAAGACUCAGAAAACAUUGCUUCCUCCAGGAAGUCCUCCGCGAUGGCCCUGCCAUCUCUUCCAGGAAGCCUUCCCUGAUUCUUCAAGAGUUGGCACCUUCGGCCUGAAUGCUGCGUUCAGAUGCUCCCCGCCCCCAGGAGGGUCAUUACUCCUUCCAUGUCCAGCUCCCCACCUGGCCGGGAGCAUCUUGAGAACAAGCAGAGCCCGAUUCCCCAGGGUCUCCAGCCCGGCACACAGCGAGCGCUCGGAAAAUGUUGGUUGACCCUGUGAUGCUAGGUUGGCUAGAAGGUGGUCAAUGUCUAUUCCCUGAGGCUUCCCCCAGCUUCAUUUAAGGAUGCAGCUCUGCCCUCUGUCUCCUGGCUCAUCUGUAAGGGUCAAGGUGCUUGGUCCAGAGCAGACUGUGUGCAGCUGCCCAGCCCUGGAGGAGCUCCACAGGCGCGUGCCCAGAGCAGGCACAGACCUCUGCUUGUGGCUGGGCUCUCCCUGCUCCUGUUUCCCCCAGGACAGCCACGUCCCCCAGGCCGGAGACCAAUCCCUGAGACCAGCCACGGCGACUCCCCCAUCCCUGCUAUCACCGCCAUCACCAUCACAGAGGCCUCCCUCAGAGGGGGUGGUGCAGAGGGAGGAGGGGGGAAGUGAGGUGGUGGAGGGGGAUAAAGGCCAAAGGAGGCAGAGGGAAGGGAGGGGAGGGGAGAAGAGAAGCGGGUUUGAUCGCCUGUUCCUCUCCGCCUGCAGCCUGAUGCUUCACCAGUUAAUUGCCGGCCAUUCGGGCCCCAGCCCCUCCUCAUUACCAUGAUUAGCAUUGAGCGAGCUGCGCAUUUUACGACUCUCCAAACCAAAAAAAUAAUUAAAGCAAUUACUGUCAUUAACACUCUGCCCUCUUCACCACCUUCGCUGAGAGUGAGCAGCGAACAGGCCCUGGGGCAUCGUGAUUGGACCCCGAGUGCCUUCUCUCCUCAUCUUGCACUCCCCCCCCCCCCCCCCCC